UCGAAGGUAGCAAAUCAGUAGUCUUUUAAUUGAAGGCUUGUAUGAAUGGUUGGACGAAAUAUUAACUGUUUCAUUUAAAAUUUUUAUAGAAUUUUAUUUUUUAGUCAAAAAGCUAAAAUAUUAUUAAAAGACGAGAAGACCCUAUAAAUCUUGAUAUUUAUAUUAAUUUUAAUUAUAAAGAUUAAUUAAAUUAUAAUUGAUAAAAAUAUUUUAUUGGGGUGAUAUUAAAAUUUAUAAAACUUUUAAUUAUUUUUUACCAUUAAUUUAUGAAUAAAUGAUCCAUUAAUAAUGAUUAAAAAUUUAAGUUACUUUAGGGAUAACAGCGUAAUUUUUUUGGAGAGUUCAUAUUGAUAAAAAAGAUUGCGACCUCGAUGUUGGAUUAA
rnacentral:rRNA from 1 species